UGUGGUACUCAUGCAGUGCCCAAAACGUCCCGGGUUCUCCUUUCUUCCACAUAUGCUAGUCCACUGUUACAGCCAGGCUACCAUGGUCUUCCAGGUUUCUGUGCACUUUUCUGUUCGCGCACAACUUCUCUGAGGAGGACCGUGAGAUGACGAUAACAGAGUUUUCAGAGACCUCACUGGCCUGUUACUAACGCUCAAGAAGAGAGACAGGGGCAGUUGGCCGGAGGCGGGAGGCGGGGCACGGAGGGCCCGCUCUGGAAGCCCUGUAGGGCUGGAGGUCACCAUGUGCCUGAUGGUGGUGGUUGUGUUUGCUAAGGGGGGGUUCCAGGCAACUUAUCCUCUCUAGCCUAGUCCAGCUGUCCUCUCCCUUCCCUGGAGGAGUGAGGCAUUCCUGGCAGACACACACACACACACACACACAGGCUACCUUUAAGCAGACGGCUGUUGCUCCCUGCACCAUUCUCUACUUAGGUUACAUGGCCUCUGCUGUGUAAAACCACAGACCUUCAUUGUUGCAUGUGAGCUACUACAGUCAUGGGCUAAUGGCUUUGAUGCAGGUCUAGUAUAACCCAGUCAGAAGAGUCCAAAGUAUCCCAGUCAGAACAGCCUACUGUAUCCCAAUCAGAACAGUCCAGAGUAUCCUAGUAAGACUAGCCUACUGUAUCCCAGUCAGACUAGCCUACUGUAUCCCAGUCAGACUAGCCUACUGAAUCCCUGAAUUUUUUUUCCUUAUUUGGUGAUGUUAUAUAAGUAUGUAAUUUUUGUGUAUUUACAGGAAAAUGUUAUAGUAAUUACAAGCUGAAGUA